rnacentral:rRNA from 1 species
GACAGAGGUCCCGAGCGUUAGGCGGAAUCACUGGGCUUAAAGCGUGUGUAGGCGGAUUUGUAAGUACCUUGUGAAAUCCCACGGCUCAACCGUGGAACUGCUUGGUAUACUGCUUAUCUUGGGCCACUUAGGGGUUACCGGAACAAACGGUGGAGCGGUGAAAUGCGUAGAUAUCAGGAGGAACAUCUGUGGCGAAGGCGACUGCCUGGACCAGCACUGACACUGAGGCACGAAAGCGUGGGGAGCAAACAGG